UUCUAUUGCGUCAUCAUCGGGGGGGGGGCGUCUACAAGCAGUGUCGCCAACUUGGCACCUUUGUCGCUAGAUUUACUUACUUUUCACUCCCCUUCAGCGGCUUUUUCUUCACAGAGGCACCUAGCCACAAAAAUGUAGCUAUUUUCCGUAGAAGAGAGGAAACAAGUACUGCUCCCUCCACGCGUCCUAUUCAAUUGACCGCGGGACAGGUGACUCAGACCGUGAAUGAGCUUCCGACUUUCUCUCUUGAGUGAUUGUAUUGAUAUCAAGAUGGUGAUCUGUGACAGUGAUGCAAAAAGACCACCGGCUAAACAGUUUUUUUCAACGAAUAGACAAAAAAAAAAGAAGAGAGAAAGAAACACUGAAACCUAACUCAAUCGCUGUUUAGUUCAACAUAAGGCACGACGACUGACUGGAAAUCGCUCGACCUUUCUCAGGCCAUCUCAUAUCAACGGAAUAAGGAAAUUGCCCGCAGCUUUGUUAGGGGGUGAUGUCAUUAUUACGCACAGCAAUCCAGCACUCUUCGACGCAGGAGGAGGGGGCGAAAGCUCGUACGGCACUGGGAGUCGGGCUGUGUAUCAUCUGGGCUCCAAGAGUUCCUCGACAACCGUCUGAAUUUUUUUUUUUCCCCUCACCGUUAAAACAUCAGCGGAUCUCCCUGCGGCGGUCGCGCUCGUUUGGAAACUGCUUCGGCCUAAAACGCUCGCUCCGAGGGGGAGAGAGAGAGAGAGAGAGAGAGAGAGACACCGCCGAUCAGCCGAGCCUGUGCCAGUUGUCCUUUUUUAUUGGAGCCAUGGUGGCAGCAGUCCUGAAGUUGUAUUUUAUUGGAACCGCGCUGACUGUGCUUGCAGUCAUUUAUGGAAUAGUAGACUCCUUUGGCGGUCUGAUGUACCCCCAGAACCAUAACUACACACUGGAGCUGGACCACCAGACACAGAGAGAGCUCUCAUCCAGUAUCCGCCAGAGAGGAUCGUCUGUGACCAAAAACAUCGGCUCGUAGUGGAAACGUCUCGGGUCGCACUCCACAACGGUGUCUCCGGGAUGGACAUGUGGGACACUGUGGCAAUCAAUCAAGAGCCAGUGAGACUUUAUAAAUUGUGGAGAUGAAAACUUUACUGUUUUCAUCGCUGACUAUCUGCAUCCUUGUUAUGUCUAACUUCUUGGAUGUGUUGUGUACACUGAAAAAGCUCUGCAGUAGACAGUUUAAUGAUAUGGAUGUCUAACCCCAUGACACGACUGUUUAGUUCUACUUUCCAUCGCCUGCUGUCAAACACUGUAGCAGCUAGUCUCUGUUAAAGCAACUACAAAUGUAACGGCACUACUGAACAAUGAUCCGCACUAAAAUAAUGAGAAUUGAGUCGAGGUACUGUAAUGACUAUAAAUAUACUCUAGCGUCUUCUAAGAAUAAAAAAAAAAGUAGGCAUGGACAGGAAAUGUUGUUGUUGGAACCCAGGCUGGUUAACAAGUAUAAUAUCUUUCCUGAAAAUUUUCAGCAAUGAUUGUAGGAGCCAAAAGUCGAACCAAUAGAGCACCAAAUUAGUCACAAAGUGUUCUAGUCUCUCUGCCAGCAAAAAACAAAACCAAUAUGUAAGAUUGGAAACCUUAGGGAAUGAUAUUCCUUUCCUGUCUGGACUUUGAUGUCCCUGUGGUCUGUGAGUACGUAUUAAUAAUGACUCAAAUGUUAGUGUGAAAGCAGGUUAAGGCCCGGUUUCUCUAUAAUUAAAGAUCAUCUCUCAUAUUCAGGUCCAGAUAUUUCUCUAAUGAGCUGGCGGGAGUCGAAGAAGGAUCCCUCCUCUAUUGCUCAUUCUGAGGUUUCUAACUUUUUUUUUUUUGUGUGUGUGUGGGGGGGGGGGUCCUUGUCUGAUUCGACGGUCUAAGGACCAGAGGGAUUUGUAAUGCUGUACAGCUUGUUAAGCCCCUUAUGGCGAAUUUGUGAUGUCGGGCUGUAUAAAAUUUGACUUGACAAAAAUGAAAAGCGAAUGUU